UACGUAGGGUGCGAGCGUUGUCCGGAAUUAUUGGGCGUAAAGAGCUUGUAGGCGGUUUGUCGCGUCUGCUGUGAAAAUCCGGGGCUCAACCCCGGACUUGCAGUGGGUACGGGCGGACUAGAGUGUGGUAGGGGAGACUGGAAUUCCUGGUGUAGCGGUGAAAUGCGCAGAUAUCAGGAGGAACACCAGUGGCGAAGGCGAAUCCCUGGAAAAUACCUGACACUGAGGCACGAAAGCUAGGGGAGCAAACAGG
rnacentral:rRNA from 1 species